GGGCGCAGAACCAGCCUCCCCAGGAGGCCCCCAGCCCGCGUUUGCGCGUGCGCUCGCGAGCUGUCGUUACGUAGAGGCGGAAGCAGAACGCACGCCGGGCGCCUCAGCUCGCGUCUGGAUCCGUUGGAGCUUUAGAGUCCGAGGACUUCAAGAGGCACAAGAAGCUGGGCUGGGUACCUACUUGAGUCUGAGAGCCCUUCGAGGAGACCCUAGAGAAGACCUCCGCCUUCUAAGCCAGCCCUCUUCCUCAAAACAGAUCGUGGUCUCCCAGCCUCGGUUUCCCCGUUGGAAAGGAAUCUGAGAUCCAGAAAGGCCCCGAACACCGUCCAGGCUAUAAACAUGGUAGAGCACAGUGUUGGAUUUAGGGGUCGAGAGGUCCACGACUUUCAACACCGUACUUUGCGGGCAAGUUCUUCAGCCCACAUGGCAUCCCCUCUGUGGUCAAGUCGGCUCCCCAACUUCCUGUGUAUAUGAUAUCAGUCCCUCACGUAUCCAGUUUAUCUGAAAAUAUUAAAUGGAAAGUGCCAGGAAUAAUUCGUAAGUUUCAACUAAUUUUGAUUUGGUAUAUUAUUAUAAUUGUUGUAUUUUAUUAGAUGUUGUGAAUCUUACUGUGGCAAAUUCAUCAAGUAAAUGUCAUCUUUUUUUUUUUUUUUUUUUUGGUACCGGGGAUCAAACUCGGGAC
rnacentral:lncRNA from 1 species